UUCAUAGCCAAGCGGUGCUCUGAGGGCGACGGCGGUUGGUUGAGAGACGCGUCGGUCCGUUAUAAAAGCAGGGAUACGUUUGCUCGAGAGAAGAAUAACAUGAACAUGGGGCCGUCCCUGAACAUCCUUAGCUAACAGUUUUGUAGGUUAAUGCACGUUAUGGACAAAUGUAUAUUGACUCCCAAGAGCAUCUACCUCUAGCACAGCAUUAAACGAUGUCUAUUCCCAUGAUGCAGCAACACUACCCUGGGCAAAGCCAGAGAGAUCAGAAGAAAACAAGAUGGCAAAAAGAGACCCAAAAUGAGAGCAGGAGCUUCAGCCUCUAGUCCCAACCCGAGCAUUACAAUAAUCUUCUGAGGUCCUGUGUUGAGUGCCCCCCAUCGUCUGAAUUUAGGCAGGUAGCAACACAAGAGAGGGUCUUCUUGGUCGUGGCAUCAAAACGGUGGAAUUCCCAUCCUCCGAAUACUGUUCUCUUCCUUCACUACCUUCUACUGGCAGGUGACGACCUUGCUUUGUUUGGUGUUUUCUCAAUCACCUCUUUUUUUGUUGUUGUUUGGUGUUUUCUCAAUCACCUCUAUCUGAGAAUUUUAAGGAAACAACAACUGAAUGGAAAACUCCUGGUGUCCUUUUACCACUGUGCUAUAGAGAGUGUCUUAACCGACUGCAUCUGUGUAUGG